UGAUAGUAAUUUAUUAAAAUAAAUAAAUUUUAGUUUUUUUAUUUUUAAAGAAAAAAUAUUUUUUAUUAUAGUAUAUUAGUAUUGUAAAAGAAGUUUUGAUUUUAGAUUAAGAAAAAUUUAUUUUUUGUACCUUGUGUAUCAGGGUUUAUUAAAAUUAUUAAAUUAUUUUAUAUUCUCGAAUUUAAAAGAGUUAAAAAUUUAUAUUUUUUAUUGUUGAAUAAAUAUUAAAAAUAAAUUUUUUGUAAUGAAAUGUUAUUCGUUUUUAUAUAUAUCUAGUUUUUUAAGAAAAGAAUUUAAUUUAAAAUAUUAUUUAUUAAAAUAAUUAAAUUAUUAAUUUUUUAGUAAUAAUAUUAAAUUUUUUUAGGGAUAAGCUUGAAAAAAUAUAUUUAUUAGUUUUUGAAAUAUAAUAAAAGUUGUAAGAUUAUAAGUUUCUAUCAUUAAAAAAAUGUUAUAAUUUAUUUUAAUUUUUUAUUAUUUAUAUAAAAAUUAUAAAUUUUAUAUUAAAAUAUUGAUUUAAAUAAUUUUAAUUAAGAAAUAAUGAUAAAAUUAGUAUAAUUUUUAUGUAAAUUUGUUUUACUUGAUUUAGGUUAAAUAAAGGAAUUCGACAAAUAUAUUAUUCACCUGUUUAUUAAAAACAUGUCUUAUUGAUUAUAAUUUUAGGUUUAACCUGCCCCCUGAGGAUUUUAAAUGGCCGCAGUAUUAUGACUGUGCUAAGGUAGCAUAAUCAUUAGUUUCUUAAUUAGGAGCUGGAAUGAAUGGUUGGAUGAAAUAAUGGUUGUCUCUAUUUAAUUUUUUUAAAAAUUUAUUUUUUAGUAAAAAAGCUAAAAUUAGUUUAAAAGACGAGAAGACCCUAUAGAGUUUAAUAUAUAGAUAUUUUAAUUUUAUUAGAAUAUAAAUUUUUAAUUUAUUAAUAUAUUUGAUUGGGGUGAUUGAAAAAUUUAAUAAACUUUUUAUUUUUAAAAACAUUGAUUUAUGAAUAAUUGAUCCAUUAAUUAUGAUUAAAAGAUUAAAUUACCUUAGGGAUAACAGCGUAAUAUUUUCAGAGAGUUCUAAUCGAAGAAAAAGAUUGCGACCUCGAUGUUGGAUUAAAAUUAAUUAUUGGUGUAGAAGUUAAUAAUAUUAGGUCUGUUCGACCUUUAAAAUUUUACAUGAUCUGAGUUUAAACCGGUGUGAGCCAGGUUGGUUUCUAUCUUUAAAAUUUAGUAAUAUUUUAGUACGAAAGGAUUAAAUAUUAGGAAUAAUUUUUAG
rnacentral:rRNA from 1 species